ACCACAUGCCAUGGCCAAAAAAAAAAAAAAAAAAAAAGUGUAGCAUAGCAUCUGUUCUUAUCAGUUUAAUAUCUGAUACAACCUCUAUGAAAGGACAAUAGAUAAAAUGGAUUUUUGGAGCCGGGAGUAGCAAUAGGAGCCUGCUCUGUCCACUCCACAUAUUGACCUACUGUUGCAGCACCUCCAGGAUUGGCACACCCCCU
rnacentral:snRNA from 1 species